rnacentral:rRNA from 1 species
GGUUUGAUUCAGCUCAGUUGAACGCUGGCGGGAUGCUUUACACAUGCAAGUCGAACGGCAGCACGGACUUCGGUCUGGUGGCGAGUGGCGAACGGGUGAGUAAUGUAUCGGAACAUGCCUAGUAGCGGGGGAUAACUACCGCGAAAGCGUAGCUAAUACCGCAUACGCCCUUCAAGGGGAAAGCGGGGACCUUCCGGGCCUCACUGCCUAAUCCGAAGCAGCCGAUAUCGGAUUAGCUGGUUGGUGAGGUGGCGCGGCUCACCAGGCGACGAUCCGGCUGGCUGGUUUGAGGACGACCAGCCACUGGGGGACGAGACACGGCGGCCCAGACUCCUACGGGAGGCAGCGAGUGGGGAAUUUUGGACAAUGGGGGAAACCUGAUCCAGCCAUCCCGCAUGUGCGAUGAAGGCCUUCGAGGUUGCUAAAGCACUUUUUGGCAGGAAAGAAGCGGCACGGGAUAAUACCCGAUGCAACUGACAGCCACCUGCAGAAUAAGCACCGGCUAACUACGUGCCAGCAGCUGCAGGCAAUACGUAGAAGUGCAAGCGUUAAUCGGAAUUACUGGGCGUAAAGCGUGCGCAGGCGGUUCGGAAAGAAAGAUGUGAAAUCCAGAGCUUAACUUUGGAACUGCAUUUUUAGCUGCCGAGCUAGAGUGUGUGUCGGAGGAGACGGAAUUCCGCGUGUAGCAGUGAAAUGCGUAGAUAUGCGGAGGAACACCGUGGCGAAGGCAGCCUCCUGGGAUAACACUGACGCUCAUGCACGAAAGCGUGGGGAGCAAACAGGAUUAGAUACUCUGGUAGUCCACGCCCUAAACGAUGUCAACUAGCUGUUUGAGGCCUUCGGGCCUUGGUAGCGCAACUAGCGUGAGUUGACCGCCUGGAGGUACAGUCGCAAAGUUAAAACUCAAAGGAAUUAAGCGGGACCGCACAAGCGGUGGAUGAUGUGGAUUAAUUCGAUGCAACGCGAAAAACCUUACCUACCCUUGACAUGUCUGGAAUCCCGAAGAGAUUUAGGAGUGCUCGCAGAGAACCGGAACACAGGUGCUGCAUGGCUGUCGUCAGCUCGUGUCGUGAGAUGUUGGGUUAAGUCCCGCAACGAGCGCAGCCCUUGUCAUUAGUUGCUACGAAAGGGCACUCUAAUGAGACUGCCGGUGACAAACCGGAGGAAGGUGGGGAUGACGUCAAAGUCCUCACCCAAGCAUAUGGUGGGAGCUUCACACGUCAUACAAUGGUCGAGACAGGAGGUGCUCCAACCCGCGAGGAGCCAAUCCCGAAACCCGAUCUAGUCCGGAUCUCCAGUCUGCAACUCGACUGCGUGAAGUCGGAAUCGCUAGUAAUCGUGGAUCAGCAUGUCGCGGUGAAUACGUUCCCGGGUCUUGCAUGCCGCACUUCCGUCACACCAUGGGAGUGGGUUUUUACCAAGUAGUUAGCCUAACCGUAAGGAGAACGGUCUACGGUAGGAUUCAUGA